rnacentral:tRNA from 1 species
AGAUGGAUGGCUCACUGGAUAGAGCACUGGACUUGAAAUCAAGAAGAUUCAUCUU